UAAAUUUCCCAUUCAUUUCUCCCAUUGACGUCUGGAAAAAUCCGUAUAUAAAGAGUUUUAAACCAUGCCUUAGGCUAACCAGCUACCAUGUUACUCAUAAACAUAUAACAUAUCAUUUCGCGUGAAAAAACAAACAGAAAAUGAAAAAGUCAAAGGUACAAGACUGUACAUAUUUUCAUUCUCGAACAAAGGAACUCCUCAUCCUAUAAAUCCCAGCGCACCACUGAAUAAAGGAAGCUAACGUUUGUUUAGCUAACAGUUAAUUCGGCAAACAACUAACUGAGACAGUAUGUAAUAACUUUAAAAGACCCUCAAAAUAAAACCUGAAAAUAACCGUUACAAUAUAUAACAGCUUUUACGUCAGCUGUAGCUUGCUUUUCCCAGUGUUUAGUUUAAGUUGACAUUAUUUUAGACUGAGUCAAGCUAAGCUUUCCACUGGAGGA